rnacentral:tRNA from 1 species
GAAGGGUUGGCCGAGUCUGGUUUAUGGCGCCGCGUUGCUAACGCGGAGCGGGUUCGACCCCGCCGGGAGUUCGAAUCUCCCACCCUUCG